rnacentral:lncRNA from 1 species
UCAGGACUGUAGUGGACACUGAAUACACUAGCCUAGCUAUCAAUUUCCCUAUCAAAUCAGCAGCAGCUACACUGUCCCUCCUCUCACUAAGAAUGCAGCUUCACAAUGAAUGUAAAAUGGAUGCUGUCCAGGAGGUGGGAGGGUCUGGGAGGGAGGGUCUGCUGCUGAUUGGCUGGAAUGUGUCUGCUGACUGUGAGGUACAGGAUCAAAGUUUACUCAAUGAUGAUGAAUAGGGG